rnacentral:lncRNA from 1 species
UCGCCGUAGUCGUCUUCGCCCUCAGGGUCCGGGAGCCAUCCGUCGGGGUCGCUGGCGGGGGUGUCGCCGGCGUUGUCGAUGAGGUACUGGAGGUCCUCCUCCUCAUCCUUGCCGCCGGUGGUGGUGGUGGUGGCAGGGGCGGAGGGGGAGGCGGCGGCGGCGAAGAGGAGGAGCAGGAGGACGGCGGCGAGAGAUCGAGGGGACAUGGCUGCCUGGCUCUUCCUCUUCCUCUCCCUCUCCAGCAGCAGCUACAGAGGAGGGGAGGAGAGGAGAGAUCUCGCCAGGCAGAUGGAUUCGAUU